UUUAUGGAGAGUUUGAUCCUGGCUCAGGAUGAACGCUGGCGGCGUGCCUAAUACAUGCAAGUCGAGCGAACAGAUAAGGAGCUUGCUCCUUUGACGUUAGCGGCGGACGGGUGAGUAACACGUGGGUAACCUACCUAUAAGACUGGAAUAACUCCGGGAAACCGGGGCUAAUGCCGGAUAACAUGUUGAACCGCAUGGUUCUACAGUGAAAGACGGUCUUGCUGUCACUUAUAGAUGGACCCGCGCCGUAUUAGCUAGUUGGUGGGGUAACGGCCUACCAAGGCGACGAUACGUAGCCGACCUGAGAGGGUGAUCGGCCACACUGGAACUGAGACACGGUCCAGACUCCUACGGGAGGCAGCAGUAGGGAAUCUUCCGCAAUGGGCGAAAGCCUGACGGAGCAACGCCGCGUGAGUGAUGAAGGUCUUCGGAUCGUAAAGCUCUGUUGUUAGGGAAGAACAAAUGUGUAAGUAACUGUGCACAUCUUGACGGUACCUAACCAGAAAGCCACGGCUAACUACGUGCCAGCAGCCGCGGUAAUACGUAGGUGGCAAGCGUUAUCCGGAAUUAUUGGGCGUAAAGCGCGCGUAGGCGGUUUUAAGUCUGAUGUGAAAGCCCACGGCUCAACCGUGGAGGGUCAUUGGAAACUGGAAAACUUGAGUGCAGAAGAGGAAAGUGGAAUUCCAUGUGUAGCGGUGAAAUGCGCAGAGAUAUGGAGGAACACCAGUGGCGAAGGCGGCUUUCUGGUCUGCAACUGACGCUGAUGUGCGAAAGCGUGGGGAUCAAACAGGAUUAGAUACCCUGGUAGUCCACGCCGUAAACGAUGAGUUAGGGGUUUCCGCCCCUUAGUGCUGCAGCUAACGCAUUAAGCACUCCGCCUGGGGAGUACGGUCGCAAGACUGAAACUCAAAGGAAUUGACGGGGACCCGCACAAGCGGUGGAGCAUGUGGUUUAAUUCGAAGCAACGCGAAGAACCUUACCAAAUCUUGACAUCCUUUGACCGCUCUAGAGAUAGAGUUUUCUCUUCGGAGGACAAAGUGACAGGUGGUGCAUGGUUGUCGUCAGCUCGUGUCGUGAGAUGUUGGGUUAAGUCCCGCAACGAGCGCAACCCUUGAACUUAGUUGCCAUCAUUCAGUUGGGCACUCUGUUGACUGCCGGUGACAAACCGGAGGAAGGUGGGGAUGACGUCAAAUCAUCAUGCCCUUAUGAUUUGGGCUACACACGUGCUACAAUGGACAAUACAAAGGGCAGCGAAACCGCGAGGUCAAGCAAAUCCCAUAAAGUUGUUCUCAGUUCGGAUUGUAGUCUGCAACUCGACUACAUGAAGCUGGAAUCGCUAGUAAUCGUAGAUCAGCAUGCUACGGUGAAUACGUUCCCGGGUCUUGUACACACCGCCCGUCACACCACGAGAGUUUGUAACACCCGAAGCCGGUGGAGUAACCAUUUUGGAGCUAGUCGAAGGUGGACAAAUGAUUUGUAACAAGGUAGCCGUAUCGGA
rnacentral:rRNA from 1 species